GUCUAUGGCCAUGCCACCCUGAACAAGCCCGAUGUCUGAUCUUGGAAGCGAAGCAGGUUCGGGCCUGGUUAGGACUUGGAUGGGAGACCACCUAGGAAGACCAGGUGCUGUAGGCA
rnacentral:rRNA from 1 species